CCUACGGGCGGCAGCAGUGGGGGAUAUUGCACAAUGGGGGAAACCCUGAUGCAGCGACGCCGCGUGCGCGAAGAAGUACUUCGGUAUGUAAAGCUCUAUCAGUAGGGAAGAAGAAAUGACGGUACCUGAGUAAGAAGCACUGGCUAAAUACGUGCCAGCAGCCGCGGUAAUACGUAGGGUGCAAGCGUUAUCCGGAUUUACUGGGUGUAAAGGGAGCGCAGGCGGCACGGCAAGCCUGAUGUGAAAGCCCGCGGCGCAACCGCGGGACUGCAUUGGGAACUACCGGGCUGGAGUGCGGGAGAGGUAGGCGGAAUUCCUAGUGUAGCGGUGAAAUGCGUAGAUAUUAGGAAGAACACCAGUGGCGAAGGCAGCCUACUGGACGGUGACUGACGCUGAGGCUCGAAAGCGUGGGGAGCGAACAGGAUUAGAUACCCUGGUAGUC
rnacentral:rRNA from 1 species